rnacentral:rRNA from 1 species
GACGUCGAAAUCAUCAUGCCCUUAUGACCUGGGCUACACACGUGCUACAAUGGGCGGUACAAAGGGCUGCGAACCCGCAGGGGGAGCGAAUCCCAAAAAGCCGCUCUCAGUUCGGAUUGCAGGCUGCAACUCGCCUGCAUGAAGCCGGAAUCGCUAGUAAUCGCGGAUCAGCAUGCCGCGGUGAAUACGUUCCCGGGCCUU